GUUGGGGGAAGCUGCUAAGAGCAUGGAUUUGCUUGGAGGCCCCAAUCUCGCCUGCUGGGGCCGCCUCCGAGGUGUCCUGGGGCUGCAGGGUCUGGCGGAGGCGCUGCCCUCUCUCCAUGGGAGAUAGACACUGCGCCGUGAGGACACCGCUGCCUCCACGCAGGUGCCGCUCCUACAGGCUUCCCUCCAGCUGGCCCUUCCUGCCAGGCCCUGGGACCACAGCAUGGGAAACCAGAGGGAACCCGACGUGACGACGCAGGAGAAGACGGCGACUUAGACGCCGGGAGAGGGGCCCUGGGACGGGUCGUUCCUUGCAGCCUCAGAAGGAGCCAGCCCUGCCCGUACCUUGAUCUGGGACUUCUGGCCUCCAGAACUGUGGGAGGAUGCACAUCUGCCAGUCCAGCCCCCAUCUGUGUGCUCUGUCGUGGGAGCGUGGGGAACCAGCAGGAACACUUCUCAGCUUACAGUGCAGGUCCGUCCUGAUGAACCCGAGGCAAGCGCGUGACAUCACUAAGUUGAGACUUCACUGACUGCACCUAACCUAGGGAACAUCACAGCUCAGCCCAGCCUACCGGAAACGUGCUCAGAACACCUACACCAACCUACAGCUGGGCACACGCAUCUAACGCAAAGCCUGUUUUAUAAUACAAAGUUGACUGUCUCAUGUAAGAGUACUGUACCGCAGAUUGCUGGCCCAGAAAAAGAUCAAAAUUCAAAA